AGACCCACCAGGCGUUCGGCC
rnacentral:miRNA from 1 species